rnacentral:rRNA from 1 species
CCACGGGUGAGUAACACGUAUCCAACCUGCCGUCUACUCUUGACAGCCUCUGAAAGGAAGAUUAAUACAAGAUGGCAUCAUGAGUCCGCAUGUUCACAUGAUUAAAGGUAUUCCGGUAGACGAUGGGGAUGCGUUCCAUUAGAUAGUAGGCGGGGUAACGGCCCACCUAGUCUUCGAUGGAUAGGGGUUCUGAGAGGAAGGUCCCCCACAUUGGAACUGAGACACGGUCCAA